UACGUAGGGGGCAAGCGUUGUCCGGAAUCAUUGGGCGUAAAGAGCGUGUAGGCGGCCCGAUAAGUCCGCUGUGAAAGUCCAGGGCUCAACCCUGGAAUGCCGGUGGAUACUGUCGGGCUCGAAUCCGGAAGAGGUGAGUGGAAUUCCUGGUGUAGCGGUGAAAUGCGCAGAUAUCAGGAGGAACACCGGUGGCGAAGGCGGCUUCCUGGACCGACACUGACGCUGAGGCGCGAAAGCUAGGGGAGCAAACAGG
rnacentral:rRNA from 1 species